rnacentral:lncRNA from 1 species
AAUAGUCCUUACGCCUCUUUUUUCAUGCAGAGUGAAGAAUAGUCCUUAUGAUGAGUCUAAACUUUGUAAAUAUUACCUCUUAACGCAUUCUCAACUGCCUUUUGCAUGAUUCUCAAAGUAAUCACAGAGAGUUUUACAUUUAGGAUUCUCCACUUAAGACACUUCCGUUGAAGCUAGUGAGGAUGUCUUUGUUUGAAAAUGAAAUUCCUGCAACAAUAAGAAAGUGAGAUCCUUGUAUAUUAAUGAAACAAAUUCAUUAGGCUAUGAUUCUAUUCUAAAGUGAUGAUAAUCUCUGACAGAUGGUAUACCUGAAAUUCUGGCAGAUGUGGUACAAGGAAAAAGCUGGAGCUAGGGUGAAGCUUGCUGAUUUUGAAACAAUAUGGCUCCGGGAUUUACUGUUAAAAAAACAAGAAGAUAAAACAUGUUGAAUUUAGAGAUACAGUCUUACGCAAUCCUUAAUUUUAGAAAACAUAGGAUUUGAGACCACUUACAGAGCAAGAAGAGGCAUUUUUCAUUGUUAGGUCAUAAUCUAGCUUUUGCCUCUUUGAUCGCUUUGAUUUUCCUGAAUCAGAUUGGUAGUGUUCUUUUAAACACUUGUAUCCCUGCAGUCAAAGAAUCAACACAUUAAAGAACGUAAUCAAGAUAUUGAAAUCAAUGAUGAGGAGUGAGGACGCAACCGUUUCAGUCAUGCAGCCGAGAUCAUGCUUAAUAUUUAACAAUUUAGCUUGCAUGUCCUGAUUUUGCAUCAUCUAGCUUUGCCUUUCGAUAACUCUGAACGAGUUUGGUAGAGUUAGCUAUGUUUUCAAAACUCUCUUCUCUGCAGUAAUAAACACACACAAAAAAAAACACUGUUACAAGAGAAUCAUGAAACCAGAUUUAAGUGUGAGAAUGGUUAUUAAUUAAUCAUAGUACCUUUUCAAUUUUCUGAUGACUGCCAUUGGCAAGAGAACUGUGACAGUUUUUUUUAUGCCUGAGUGCAGACGGAUUCCUCAGCAGAUUAACCAUUUUUCUAGUACUUUGCAGCUUCUUAGAGUCCAUUGACCAAUCUCCUUGAGAAAACAGCUGAUAAUUCCUUGUCAAUGUUACUUAGGUCGGUUGGAAAACAACACCAUCCUGGAAGUUAAUCAAAAAUAGGAAAGAUAAGAGAAAAGUUAAAAUGAAUCAGAGAGUACAUCAAUUAUGUAUAAUAUGUGGAAGGGAAUUGUACAUCAACGACAAGUACCUUUUUGUUCACAAGUUUUGAUUUGAAAUCUGGUGCCUUGUCGAGUUCCACUUCAGUAGAUUCUUGCUGUUCAGAAAAAAAAAAGGAAGGAUUCUUGAUUGAGGGAAAGAUAAAUUUAAAACAAGACAAAGUAAAGAAGGGCAUAUAGGAAUUUUGGGAUGACUUACAGAGCCAUCUUGACAACGUCCUCUGAACAUCCGUCACUUGCAAAGACACAAAAACAAUACUUUCACCAGAUAAUAUUCCUCAACAAUGCUUGGAUUCUAAAAGUAGAAAAGAGAAGAAUAGGUGAUAAGAUAUAACACACAAAAGGAAAAGAAAAAGAGAUAAUUAAAAGUUAAGGGACAAAACUUGAAACAUAAAGAAAUAGAAUCAUGAUCAGGAUCUCAAUAAGUGUUUACUUACAGAUGGUUUUCCUCAUAGUUGUUGUUGUUGAUGUUGUUAUUGUAAGAACACACUGGUGACUGUUUUUGUUCUGAAUCGACUUCUUACGUCCUUGAAAAAAUCAGAGUCAUCGUGCUUGUUGGAAUAUGAACACAGACACACCCCUGUUUCUUUUGACCCAUAAAUGAAAAACAAAAUUAGAAAAGUUAAAAGGACUCGAGAGUACCUCAGUGGUUUAGCAUCUAGCUUCGGUCUUUUGAUCCAUUCCUCAAAACCAAUUAAACAUAUUAUCAAUCCCAAAUCAAAUAAAAGACGAAAUUCCUUAUUCUUAUAGAUUCCUACAGUCUAUGCAAUAUCAAAUUUUGGAAAACAUAGGAUUUUUGAGAUCACUUACAGUGCAAGAAGAGGCUUUUUCCAUCUUUUGGUCAUAAUCUCGCUUUUGCCUUUUUGAUUGCUUUGAUUUUCCUGAAUCAGAUUGGUAGUGUUAUUCUUAACACUUGUUUCACUGCAGUCAAAUAAUCAACACAUUAAAAUCAAUGAUGAGAGAGUUUCAGUCAUGUAGUGAGAUCAUGAUGAGUUUUUAACACUUUAGCUUACUUGUCUUGAUUUUGCAUCAUCUAGCUUUGCCUUUUGAUAGCUUCAUUUUCCUGAAUGAUUUUGGCAGAGCUAGCUAUGUUUCAAGACUCUUUUCCCUGCAGUGAGGCAAUAAAGAGAAAAGAAAACACUAUUACAAGAAGGAACGUGAAACCAAAAUGAUUACUGGUUAUUAAUUAAGAAGGUGAGCUA